AACGAACGCUGGCGGCAUGCCUAACACAUGCAAGUCGAACGAGACCUUCGGGUCUAGUGGCGCACGGGUGCGUAACGCGUGGGAAUCUGCCCUUGGGUACGGAAUAACAGCGAGAAAUUGCUGCUAAUACCGUAUAAUGACUUCGGUCCAAAGAUUUAUCGCCCAGGGAUGAGCCCGCGUAGGAUUAGCUUGUUGGUGAGGUAAAAGCUCACCAAGGCGACGAUCCUUAGCUGGUCUGAGAGGAUGAUCAGCCACACUGGGACUGAGACACGGCCCAGACUCCUACGGGAGGCAGCAGUGGGGAAUAUUGGACAAUGGGCGAAAGCCUGAUCCAGCAAUGCCGCGUGAGUGAUGAAGGCCUUAGGGUUGUAAAGCUCUUUUGCCCGGGAUGAUAAUGACAGUACCGGGAGAAUAAGCUCCGGCUAACUCCGUGCCAGCAGCCGCA
rnacentral:rRNA from 1 species